AGUGAACGCUGGCGGUAGGCCUAACACAUGCAAGUCGAACGGCAGCACAGUAAGAGCUUGCUCUUACGGGUGGCGAGUGGCGGACGGGUGAGGAAUACAUCGGAAUCUACUUUUUCGUGGGGGAUAACGUAGGGAAACUUACGCUAAUACCGCAUACGACCUACGGGUGAAAGCAGGGGAUCUUCGGACCUUGCGCGAUUGAAUGAGCCGAUGUCGGAUUAGCUAGUUGGCGGGGUAAAGGCCCACCAAGGCGACGAUCCGUAGCUGGUCUGAGAGGAUGAUCAGCCACACUGGAACUUGGACACGGUCCAGACUCCUACGGGAGGCAGCAGUGGGGAAUAUUGGACAAUGGGCGCAAGCCUGAUCCAGCCAUACCGCGUGGGUGAAGAAGGCCUUCGGGUUGUAAAGCCCUUUUGUUGGGAAAGAAAAGCAGCAGGUUAAUACCCCGCUGUUCUGACGGUACCCAAAGAAUAAGCACCGGCUAACUUCGUG
rnacentral:rRNA from 1 species